GGAGGUAGCAAUACCUUUGCCGGCGACCGGCGCACGGGUGAGUAACACGUAUGCAAUCCACCUGUAACAGGGGGAUAACCCGGAGAAAUCCGGACUAAUACCCCAUAAUAUGGGCUCUCCGCAUGGAGGGCUCAUUAAAGAGAGCAAUUUUGGUUACAGACGAGCAUGCGCUCCAUUAGCCAGUUGGCGGGGUAACGGCCCACCAAAGCGACGAUGGAUAGGGGUUCUGAGAGGAAGGUCCCCCACAUUGGAACUGAGACACGGUCCAAACUCCUACGGGAGGCAGCAGUGAGGAAUAUUGGUCAAUGGUCGGCAGACUGAACCAGCCAAGUCGCGUGAGGGAAGACGGCCCUACGGGUUGUAAACCUCUUUUGUCGGAGAGUAAAGUACGCUACGUGUAGCGUAUUGCAAGUAUCCGAAGAAAAAGCAUCGGCUAACUCCGUGCCAGCAGCCGCGGUAAUACGGAGGAUGCGAGCGUUAUCCGGAUUUAUUGGGUUUAAAGGGUGCGUAGGCGGCACGCCAAGUCAGCGGUGAAAUUUUCGGGCUCAACCCGGACUGUGCCGUUGAAACUGGCGAGCUAGAGUGCACAAGAGGCAGGCGGAAUGCGUGGUGUAGCGGUGAAAUGCAUAGAUAUCACGCAGAACCCCGAUUGCGAAGGCAGCCUGCUAGGGUGCGACAGACGCUGAGGCACGAAAGCGUGGGUAUCGAACAGGAUUAGAUACCCUGGUAGUCCACGCAGUAAACGAUGAAUACUAACUGUUUGCGAUACAAUGUAAGCGGUACAGCGAAAGCGUUAAGUAUUCCACCUGGGGAGUACGCCGGCAACGGUGAAACUCAAAGGAAUUGACGGGGGCCCGCACAAGCGGAGGAACAUGUGGUUU
rnacentral:rRNA from 1 species